GAGCAGUUGUGUCUUGUAGAAGAGUGCGAACGAACCUCAGAAGCUCAGUGAAAAACAGAUAGAAAAGUGUUCCUCAGCUCUAUAAAAAGUUCACCUUUAGCAAAAAAGUAAAAAUAUAUAAACAAGUAUAGAACGUAAAAGUAAAAAAAAAGUUGAAAUAAAUAAAAGAGACUUCAACACUUCAGUCAAGACUAAAGUUAUAAGCCACCAGGCGCUGGAAGUACUAUUUACUGUACUGUAAAUAGUUGUGAGCCGAGAUAAUAACGGCAAGAACAAUAUAACCAAAGCGGCAGGAGUAGAAACAUUUUAAUUUUUUUCCAACUAUUCCUUUCCACUUUCUCCGAAUCUAUCUUGUUACUCUACUAUCCUGAAGAGUUUUUACUCACGUACUUAACUCCUUGCUAAACUGUGCUUGAACACAUUAUUUUCUCAUAUUUCAAAAACAACUUUAUAAGCUAAGUAAUAAGGUUAUGCUUAACAGAGGUCAACCUGAGGAUUGGUAAGUUAGUUUAUUGUUUCCAAGUAUUAAAUAAUAAAAUUGUUAGAAACAUUUAUAUACAAUUAUAAUGUUUGUCUUCUUUCACAAAUAACCACGUUCCUGAGGAUUGCAAUUAACGCGAAUCAACGUUCAGCUGAUUUUUCUUGGUAUUAUUUUAUUUAUUUGAUUAAAUUCAAAUACAUACAUGACUUUUUUUGUAUAAAAUAUAGCAUAUUUAACUAUACUACAUAUCACAUUGGUUAACGUAUUAUACAUUAUUUCUAAUAUUUGAAAUAAA